UAAGGGCUCGCAGGCGGUUUCUUAAGUCUGAUGUGAAAGCCCCCGGCUCAACCGGGGAGGGUCAUUGGAAACUGGGGAACUUGAGUGCAGAAGAGGAGAGUGGAAUUCCACGUGUAGCGGUGAAAUGCGUAGAGAUGUGGAGGAACACCAGUGGCGAAGGCGACUCUCUGGUCUGUAACUGACGCUGAGGAGCGAAAGCGUGGGGAGCGAACAGGAUUAGAUACCCUGGUAGUCCACGCCGUAAACGAUGAGUGCUAAGUGUUAGGGGGUUUCCGCCCCUUAGUGCUGCAGCUAACGCAUUAAGCACUCCGCCUGGGGAGUACGGUCGCAAGACUGAAACUCAAAGGAAUUGACGGGGGCCCGCACAAGCGGUGGAGCAUGUGGUUUAAUUCGAAGCAACGCGAAGAACCUUACCAGGUCUUGACAUCCUCUGACAAUCCUAGAGAUAGGACGUCCCCUUCGGGGGCAGAGUGACAGGUGGUGCAUGGUU
rnacentral:rRNA from 2 species